rnacentral:rRNA from 1 species
UACGUAGGUGGCAAGCGAUACUCGGAAUCACUGGGCGUAAAGCGCACGUAGGCGGAUCUUUAAGUCAGGGGUGAAAUCCCGAGGCUCAACCUCGGAACUGCCCUUGAUACUGGGGAUCUCGAGUCCGGAAGAGGUUGGUGGAACUCCGAGUGUAGAGGUGAAAUUCGUAGAUAUUCGGAAGAACACCAGUGGCGAAGGCGGCCAACUGGUCCGGCACUGACGCUGAGGUGCGAAAGCGUGGGGAGCAAACAGG